GACGAACGCUGGCGGCGUGCUUAACACAUGCAAGUCGAACGGAAAGGCCUCUUUCGGGGGGUACUCGAGUGGCGAACGGGUGAGUAACACGUGAGUAGCCUGCCCUUGACUUUGGGAUAACUUCAGGAAACUGGGGCUAAUACCGGAUAGGAGCUCCUGCUGCAUGGUGGGGGUUGGAAAGUUUCGGCGGUUGGGGAUGGACUCGCGGCUUAUCAGCUUGUUGAUGGGGUAGUGGCUUACCAAGGCUUUGACGGGUAGCCGGCCUGAGAGGGUGACCGGCCACAUUGGGACUGAGAUACGGCCCAGACUCCUACGGGAGGCAGCAGUGGGGAAUAUUGCACAAUGGGUGGAAGCCUGAUGCAGCAACGCCGUGUGCGGGAUGACGGCCUUCGGGUUGUAAACCGCUUUCGCUCAUGACGAAGCUUUGUGUGACGGUAGUGGGUAAAGAAGCACCGGCUAACUACGUG
rnacentral:rRNA from 1 species